UACGUAGGGUGCAGGCGUUAAUCGGAAUUACUGGGCGUAAAGCGUGCGCAGGCGGUUUGCUAAGACUGGUGUGAAAUCCCCGGGCUUAACCUGGGAACUGCGCUUGUAACUGGCAAGCUAGAGUGUGGCAGAGGGGGGUGGAAUUCCACGUGUAGCAGUGAAAUGCGUAGAGAUGUGGAGGAACACCGAUGGCGAAGGCAGCCCCCUGGGCUAACACUGACGCUCAUGCACGAAAGCGUGGGGAGCAAACAGG
rnacentral:rRNA from 1 species